AUCAUGCCUGCUGUACACAAGAGAGGGCUCACAGGCCCCCUUCCAGAGCAGAGGAGAGGAUCUUCCACUGGCCGGGCAGCCACCAUGCCCACUAUCUGACCUCCAGACUCGGCCACCCAGAAGCAGGAGUCAUGAGAACUCAGCAAAGGUGGAAAUCGAGAGGGAUCAAGGAGCAGCAGCUAGAACAGCACUGCUCCCACAGUGAACCGGGCAGAGGCAGGACAAGGUUGUGGUGACCUUUUGGCAAGGUGUGGCUCUAGUUGGGUCUUUGAUGAGCAUCACUGGCUUCAGGGCACACAUCCUGGAGAUCUGUCCUCCAUGACCAGCCAGCUUUCUUUGCUGAGUCAUUCAUCAGGUCAGCAGAGUAGAGGACAUCCACAGUGAUGCGGGCCUGUCCUUCCUCAGGCCUUGCAGUCUGGCCCUCGGUCUCCAUGCCCAGAGUGGAAGCUUCCAGAAAAAUCCCUUCCAGGAUUGGGACAGAAUCUGUCUGGAAGAGACUGGCUGACCAGGCUUCCCUGCAUCCUGGGAGUUUUGGAUUUUUUUUUUUUUAAGAUACAGCUAUCUAUCUAUCUAUCUAUCUAUCUAUCUA